ensembl:lncRNA
ACUCACUUCUAAGGAAGAGAGCACAGCAGAAGUGAUGGGGCUCCAUCGCCAAGAGCCUGACUUCCGACCUGCUCUGUUGCACCAUCACUUUCUCUGAAGGAAGCCAGCUGACAGGUGAGGACCUGCCCCGUGGCCCUGUGGCCCCCGUGGCAGGGAGCUGAUGUGAUGUCUCCGGUCAACAGCCAGCGAGCAACUGAGGUGUUGCAACAACCAUGUGGUUGUGAGGAUACUUUCCCUGGAGAACGGAUGGCAACUCACUCCAAUAUUCUUGCCUGAAGAAUCCCAUGGAGAGUGGAACCUGGCAGGCUACAGUCCACGGGGUCACAGAGUCGGACACAACUUGAACGACUACACUACUCCUAAGGGUAAGGUGAGAGACAUGAGGAGAAGCAGGUGGAAACCUGAAUGACGUGCAGGAGACAACCUGAUGAAAACCCAGGAGACAGAGGGAGUGUGGAUGGGAGGAAACCGAGGAGAGAGGGACAGGGGCGAGAUCCUGGAGGACUUUGAUCUCGGCUGGCAGGGCAGCCUGGAGAGGUUGGUUUCUUUAGAAGCCCAGAAGGACUGCAAUCCUAGGCCGUGAGGUAGGGCACCUGGAGAUGAGCACCACUGGAGGCCUGAAUGGGAAGGAGCAGAAUGACUGAGAUGAUGCUCUGAGCAUUCUCAUCGCUGGAGGGACCCUCGUCGUCACUGUCCUCAACAACCACGGGAUGGAACCAAUGUGUGGCCUGGAUGCCUGUGGGAGCAGUAGCCAGCCAGCAUGUCAGCCACUGUGACACUUGCCGGUGGCUGAGAAAGACUCAGGAACUUGAAGAAUGUGUGUGGGACUACAUUUAUCUUGAAUUUUCUGCAUCCUCAUAUACCUUUUGGCUUCUCCAGUGGCUCAGUGGUAAAGAAUCUGCGUGCAAUGCAGGAGACGUGGAUUUGAUCCUUGGGUCGUGAAGAUCCCGUGCAGGAGGAAAUAGCAACCCGCUCCAGUAUUCUUGCCAUGGACAGAGGAGCCUGGUGAGCUACAGUUCAUGGGGUUGCAAAGAGUCUGAAGUGACUGAGCAACUGAGUGCACAUGUGCACAGAUACACACAUACACACACACACACACACAGAACACACACACACACACACCACACACACACCCCUUUCUCAGACCUUCAACAGCUAACUUCAGCUCUUAGCAUUGCAGUAGACCUAAGCCCAGUGCGGCUUCCAGGAUGAGGCAGAUAUUUCCAUAGUUUAAUUUUCAUGGUGAGAUAUUUCCGUGGCAAAUUCAGUUGAAUCGUGAAUCUAACCACCAAGCGAUUAUUGUCUCUUGCCACCCUGUUCUAUUCCCCAUCCCCCGCCCCCAUUUCUCAGUUUCUCAUCUCUUUCACUUUAUGUUAUGUGAUUCAGAAAGGAAAAAACAAGAGCUGGUCCUCACUGUACAGAGGGAGUCAGGCUAUGAUGUGAGACAUGAGCUCAAGUCCCUCUGUGACACUUGUUCUAAAUCACAUGUGCUGAUUAGACUCCCACGUUGCAUCUUGUUUUUGAAGAGAGUGACCCUAAUUGACCCAGACUUUCAAUGGCAAGUAAUAUUUUAUCCAGACACUGAACUGUAUAAAGGAAGAAGGGUUAUGGGAGGACAGGGAGACACAAUGGCCCAGCAUGGAGUCAGCAUCAUGUUUAUGCUUCAGUUGCUUUUUCCACUAAGCAGUUGAGAAUUCUGUCUGGAUCAAGUGAAAGGAGGAGAUGGGACAUAGGAAAAAUAUUUGCAGGGAAUUUGAGAAACUUUUCUGCUGAAUAAGAUUAAGAGUUAAUCAUUGUAUGGUUUAUAAUAGGG